ACCCCACUCAUCCAACCCCACUGGAGAUGGCACCUCUCAUCAGGUAAGUAAGCCAGAAUAAAUUUAAUAUUUUUCAUUCAGGCCCUUGGGAUCUAUUGUUUGGAGGCGCCCAAUCCAAAUUCUUUCCAUCCCCUGUCGUUGUUUCCUAGACCAGCCCCCGUUUGUCUCCAGACCAAAGAUUUUCAAAUUAUCACUGGCAUGAAGGCUAAAAUGUAAAUACAACCCCGUGCUCUUAUUACCUUUUGCCAUAUUGUAUAGGUGUUGUUUUAGUCUAGCCUGUAGUGCAUUCUUGGUUUCUCCUAUAUACAUUUUUUGGCACAAUUUGCACUUGAUUACAUAAAUCAAGUUUGUCGUUGACAAUUCGAUUCUCUGUCUUAUAGGAAACCCCAAACCCGAGAAGGCAUUAGUAAUAUAUUUUGGUCUCUCCAGAUAUUUUUCCAAUUUAUUAGGUACCUCUUUCUGCCGGAAGGCAGAGUGGACUAAUUUAUCCCCAAGGUUUUUAUUUUUCCUAUAUGCUGAGAUUAUUCUACAAUUCAACAGCCCCUCCACCGCUUGUUGCGCUUCCCGGAAGUUAGACCUCAACGUCCUGCUAAGUCCACCCAAACUCCCAGAGUAUGUAGCAACAAAUGGUAUCAGAUUAUGUGUUUCUGCUGUUUUGUUGUAACCCUCUUCCCUUCCAAAUAAUUCUCCUACCUCUGCUUUUAUCUCCCUAAGGAAACGUUUUGAAUAUCCCCGUGGCCCCAAAGCUCCAAAGAGAAUGGUUGUUGCCUCCUCCACAUGCUCACCCAAUGUACAAAUUCUGUUGAACCGGAUCAACUGGGAUUUAAUUAUCCCUCUAAAGGAAACGUUUUGAAUAUCCCCGUGGCCCCAAAGCUCCAAAGAGAAUGGUUGUUGCCUCCUCCACAUGCUCACCCAAUGUACAAAUUCUGUUGAACCGGAUCAACUGGGAUUUAAUUAUCCCUCUAAAGGAAACGUUUUGAAUAUCCCCGUGGCCCCAAAGCUCCAAAGAGAAUGGUUGUUGCCUCCUCCACAUGCUCACCCAAUGUACAAAUUCUGUUGAACCGGAUCAACUGGGAUUUAAUUAUCCCUCUAAAGGAAACGUUUUGAAUAUCCCCGUGGCCCCAAAGCUCCAAAGAGAAUGGUUGUUGCCUCCUCCACAUGCUCACCCAAUGUACAAAUUCUGUUGAACCGGAUCAACUGGGAUUUAAUUAUCCCUCUAAAGGUAUGUUUUGGAUGAUAACUUGCCUUAUGUAGCAAAGCAUGCCUAUCUG